CAUGCAAGUCGAGGGGCAGCGGGAUUGAAGCUUGCUUCAAUUGCCGGCGACCGGCGCACGGGUGAGUAACGCGUAUCCAACCUUCCGUACACUCAGGGAUAGCCUUUCGAAAGAAAGAUUAAUACCUGAUGGUAUGAUGAGAUUGCAUGAUAGCAUCAUUAAAGAUUUAUCGGUGUACGAUGGGGAUGCGUUCCAUUAGGUAGUAGGCGGGGUAACGGCCCACCUAGCCGACGAUGGAUAGGGGUUCUGAGAGGAAGGUCCCCCACAUUGGAACUGAGACACGGUCCAAACUCCUACGGGAGGCAGCAGUGAGGAAUAUUGGUCAAUGGACGAGAGUCUGAACCAGCCAAGUAGCGUGAAGGAUGAAGGUCCUACGGAUUGUAAACUUCUUUUAUAAGGGAAUAAAACCUCCCACGUGUGGGAGCUUGUAUGUACCUUAUGAAUAAGCAUCGGCUAACUCCGUGCCAGCAGCCGCGGUAAUACGGAGGAUGCGAGCGUUAUCCGGAUUUAUUGGGUUUAAAGGGAGCGCAGACGGGUCGUUAAGUCAGCUGUGAAAGUUUGGGGCUCAACCUUAAAAUUGCAGUUGAUACUGGCGUCCUUGAGUGCGGUUGAGGUGUGCGGAAUUCGUGGUGUAGCGGUGAAAUGCUUAGAUAUCACGAAGAACUCCGAUUGCGAAGGCAGCACACUAAGCCGUAACUGACGUUCAUGCUCGAAAGUGUGGGUAUCAAACAGGAUUAGAUACCCUGGUAGUCCACACGGUAAACGAUGGAUACUCGCUGUUGGCGAUAUACAGUCAGCGGCUUAGCGAAAGCGUUAAGUAUCCCACCUGGGGAGUACGCCGGCAACGGUGAAACUCAA
rnacentral:rRNA from 1 species